rnacentral:lncRNA from 1 species
AGAGUUGGCGUGAUAUACAGAAGGAAAAAAAAAAAUGAUAGCAGAAAAUUCAGAGGAAGUGAAGAAAACUACCUCAUUCGCGAAAUUGAGGAUGAUUUCUGAUAUUGGCAAAAUGAUACAAAUUAAUCGAAUAAUUAUUACAGAAAAUAGAUAGGAUUUGAUGGAAUUUGUAUAGAAACGGUAUGCAUAUGAUUACAGAAAUUUUAUAGGAUUUGAGUUGGGGGC